rnacentral:rRNA from 1 species
AACGGACGCUGGCGGCAUGCCUAACACAUGCAAGUCGAACGAGACCUUCGGGUCUAGUGGCGCACGGGUGCGUAACGCGUGGGAACCUGCCCUUAGGUUCGGAAUAACUCCCCGAAAGGGGUGCUAAUACCGGAUAAUGUCUUCGGACCAAAGAUUUAUCGCCUUUGGAUGGGCCCGCGUUGGAUUAGCUAGUUGGUAGGGUAAAAGCCUACCAAGGCGACGAUCCAUAGCUGGUCUGAGAGGAUGAUCAGCCACACUGGGACUGAGACACGGCCCAGACUCCUACGGGAGGCAGCAGUGGGGAAUAUUGGGCAAUGGGCGAAAGCCUGAUCCAGCAAUGCCGCGUGAGUGAUGAAGGCCUUAGGGUUGUAAAGCUCUUUUACCCGGGAUGAUAAUGACAGUACCGGGAGAAUAAGCUCCGGCUAACUCCGUG